UACCGCGUAAUACUCCGAGAGGCAUCUCCUGGGGUUUAAAGGGUAACACCGGCUACGGAUGGCCAUGCGGCGCAUUAGCUAGUUGGCGGGGUAACGGCCCACCAAGGCGACGAUGCGUAGGGGUUCUGAGAGGAAGGUCCCCCACACUGGUACUGAGACACGGACCAGACUCCUACGGGAGGCAGCAGUGAGGAAUAUUGGUCAAUGGGCGCGAGCCUGAACCAGCCAAGUCGCGUGAGGGAAGACGGUCCUAUGGAUUGUAAACCUCUUUUGUCGGGGAGCAAAAGACGCCACGCGUGGCGUUCCGAGAGUACCCGAAGAAAAAGCAUCGGCUAACUCCGUGCCAGCAGCCGCGGUAAUACGGAGGAUGCGAGCGUUAUCCGGAUUUAUUGGGUUUAAAGGGUGCGCAGGCGGAAGAUCAAGUCAGCGGUAAAAUUGAGAGGCUCAACCUCUUCGAGCCGUUGAAACUGGUUUUCUUGAGUGAGCGAGAAGUAUGCGGAAUGCGUGGUGUAGCGGUGAAAUGCAUAGAUAUCACGCAGAACUCCGAUUGCGAAGGCAGCAUACCGGCGCUCAACUGACGCUCAUGCACGAAAGUGUGGGUAUCGAACAGGAUUAGAUACCCUGGUAGUCCACACAGUAAACGAU
rnacentral:rRNA from 1 species